rnacentral:rRNA from 1 species
UACGUAGGGGGCAAGCGUUAUCCGGAUUUACUGGGUGUAAAGGGAGCGUAGGUGGUUCGGCAAGUCAGAUGUGAAAGCCCGGGGCUCAACCCCGGGACUGCAUUUGAAACUGUCGUACUAGAGUGCAGGAGAGGUAAGUGGAAUUCCUAGUGUAGCGGUGAAAUGCGUAGAUAUUAGGAGGAACACCAGUGGCGAAGGCGGCUUACUGGACUGUAACUGACACUGAGGCUCGAAAGCGUGGGGAGCAAACAGG